UACGUAGGGAGCGAGCGUUGUCCGGAAUUACUGGGUGUAAAGGGAGCGUAGGCGGGACGGCAAGUCAGAUGUGAAAACUGAGGGCUCAACUUUCAGACUGCAUUUGAAACUGCUGUUCUUGAGUGAAGUAGAGGUAAGCGGAAUUCCUAGUGUAGCGGUGAAAUGCGUAGAUAUUAGGAGGAACAUCGGUGGCGAAGGCGGCUCUCUGGUCUGUAACUGACGCUGAGGCUCGAAAGCAUGGGUAGCGAACAGG
rnacentral:rRNA from 1 species